GACGAACGCUGGCGGCGUGCUUAACACAUGCAAGUCGAACGGAAAGGCCCUGCUUUUGUUGGGUGCUCGAGUGGCGAGCGGGUGAGUAACACGUGAGUAACCUACCCUUGACUUUGGGUUAAGUUCACGAAACUGGGGCUAAUACCGGAUAGGAUCUCCUGCUGCAUUGUGGGGGUUGGAAAGUGUCGGCGGUUGGGGAUGGACUGGCGGCUUAUCAGCUUUUUGGUGGGGUGGGGGCUUACCAGGGCUUUGACGGGUGGCCGGCCUGAGAGGGUGGACGGUCUGAGAGGGUGUGAGGCACGGUCGGGACUCAGACGGGGGGCAGAAGUGGAGAAUAGUGAGCAGUGGGGGAAAGCCUGAUGCAGCGACGCCGCGGGAGGGAUGGAGCCGUGCGGGUUGUGAACCUCUUUCGCCAGUGAAGCGGGCCUGCCUCGUUUGUGGGUGGGUUGACGGUAGCUGGAGAAGAAGCGCCGGCUAACUACGUG
rnacentral:rRNA from 1 species